rnacentral:rRNA from 1 species
CCUACGGGAGGCAGCAGUGAGGAAUAUUGGUCAAUGGACGCAAGUCUGAACCAGCCAAGCCGCGUGCAGGACGACGGCCCUAUGAGUUGUAAACUGCUUUUGUACGAGGGUAAACGCAGAUACGCGUAUCUGUCUGAAAGUAUCGUACGAAUAAGGGUCGGCUAACUCCGUGCCAGCCGCCGCGGUAAUACGGAGGAUUCAAGCGUUAUCCGGAUUUAUUGGGUUUAAAGGGUGCGUAGGCGGGAGGAUAAGUUAGAGGUGAAAUCCCGAGGCUUAACUUCGGAAUUGCCUCUGAUACUGUUCGGCUAGAGAGUAGUAGCGGUAGGCGGAAUGUAUGGUGUAGCGGUGAAAUGCUUAGAGAUCAUACAGAACACCGAUUGCGAAGGCAGCUUACCAGGCUACUUCUGACGUUGAGGCACGAAAGCGUGGGUAGCAAACAGGAUUAGAUACCCCUGUAGUC